GACGAACGCUGGCGGCGUGCUUAACACAUGCAAGUCGAACGGAAAGGCCCUGCUUUUGUGGGGUGCUCGAGUGGCGAACGGGUGAGUAACACGUGAGUAUCCUGCCCUUGACUUUGGGAUAACUUCAGGAAACUGGGGCUAAUACCGGAUAGGUGCUCCUGCUGCAUGGUGGGGGUUGGAAAGUUUCGGCGGUUGUGGAUGGACUCGCGGCUUAUCAGCUUGUUGGUGGGGUAGUGGCUUACCAAGGCUUUGACGGGUAGCCGGCCUGAGAGGGUGACCGGCCACAUGGGGACUGAGAGACGGACCAGACUCGUACGGGAGGCAGCAGUGGGAAAUAUUGCACAAUGGGCGGAAGCCUGAUGCAGAGACGCCGCGUGCGGGAUGAAGGCCUUCGGGGGAUAAACCGCUUUCGCCUGUGACGAAGCGGGAGUGACGGUAAUGGGUAAAGAAGCACCGGCUAACUACGUG
rnacentral:rRNA from 1 species